GUGCCAGCAGCCGCGGUAAGACGUAGGAGGCGAGCGUUAUCCGGAUUCACUGGGCGUAAAGCGCAUGUAGGCGGAUGAACAAGUCAUGUGUUAAAGCCCCUGGCUCAACUGGGGGAGGUCAUGUGAGACUGUUCGUCUUGAGGGCAGCAGAGGCACGUGGAACUCCCGGUGUAGCGGUGGAAUGCGUAGAGAUCGGGAAGAACACCCGUGGCGAAGGCGACGUGCUGGGCUGCGACUGACGCUGAGAUGCGAAAGUGUGGGGAGCAAACGGGAUUAGAUACCCCGGUAGUCCACACUGUAAACGAUGAACCCUAGGUGUGGGGGAGUAAAAUCCUCUGUGCCGAAGCCAACGCGUUAAGGGUUCCGCCUGGGGACUAUGAGCGCAAGCUUAAA
rnacentral:rRNA from 1 species